rnacentral:rRNA from 1 species
ACUCCCGCAGGGACGGAGGGAUGGCGGCAUUCGCCCACCUGACCCCGCCCCCCCGGGGCACCAAUGGCCGCCCCCGUUCGGCCUCUUUGCAGGACGGGCGGCGGGAACAAUACCUGACGCAGUAGGCGCCAAGGAACAUUCUCAGUUGGAGAGCGCCGCAAGGUGGUUUUGGCGUGCGGUGCGAUCCUUCCAUACAAGUCAAACUUUUACGACUCUUGACAAUGGAUAUCAUGGCUCUCGCAUCGAUGAAGAACGUAGCAAAAUGUGAUACUUGGUGUGAAUUGCAGAAUCCUGUGAACCAUCGAGUCUUUGAACGCAAGUUGCACACGAGGCUAUCCGGCCGAGGGCACGCCUGCCUGGGCAUCAUGCCUCGCAUCGCUCCAUGCACCCUGAGCCACCCUUCGAGCAGGGGCGAUGGCGGGUGCGGAUGUGGAGAUUGGCUCCCUAUGCCUUGCAGCGCGGCGGGCCGAAGUGCUGGCCGCUGGCCGGGAACGGAAGCGGCGAGUGGGGGAUGGACACGUACAAUGCCGGACAUUGCCUCCGGCCCCGGCUGCAGCGGUGCAUGCAAGGAACCCACACCGUCGGGUGCGCUCGUACGCACCCCUCGGAACACGACCCUAGAACAGGCGGGGCCACCCACUGAGCUUAAGCAUAUAAAUAAGCGGAGGA